UGGGGAAUAUUGCACAAUGGGCGCAAGCCUGAUGCAGCCAUGCCGCGUGUAUGAAGAAGGCCUUCGGGUUGUAAAGUACUUUCAGCGGGGAGGAAGGGAGUAAAGUUAAUACCUUUGCUCAUUGACGUUACCCGCAGAAGAAGCACCGGCUAACUCCGUGCCAGCAGCCGCGGUAAUACGGAGGGUGCAAGCGUUAAUCGGAAUUACUGGGCGUAAAGCGCACGCAGGCGGUUUGUUAAGUCAGAUGUGAAAUCCCCGGGCUCAACCUGGGAACUGCAUCUGAUACUGGCAAGCUUGAGUAUCGUAGAGGGGGGUAGAAGUCCAGGUGUAGCGGUGAAAUGCGUAGAGAUCUGGAGGAAUACCGGUGGCGAAGGCGGCCCCCUGGACGAAGACUGACGCUCAGGUGGGAAAGCGUGGGGAGCAAACAGG
rnacentral:rRNA from 1 species